AGCACAUGACAGCAAGUUUGGAGGCAGCCUGGUGAGCAGCCAAGAGCAGCAGUGGUUACGCCUAGGGAAGAGCAUGAGUUAGAACAUCAGCAUUACUUCUUUCCAGCCAUGGGAGCUUGGGCUGGUAAGUUUACCUUCCCAAGCCUCAGUCUCCUGAUCUCUAAAAUGAGAAUAAUCAUAAAAUGGGCCUCAAAGAAUUGUUAAAGGAUUGAAUGAACUUCUUAUGUCAUGCCUGGCAUAUUUGGCACUCAGUAAAUGGGAGCUACCUAUCAUCUCAGAGGAGAGUGCUUAGCCCUUAAGUUGCUCUUUUUAAGCUCGGGCACAUUCACUCACUCAUUGUAUCCUCCCAGAUUGGAAGGGUUGGGCACAAGAGGAGCUCCCCAAGACAGGUGCUCCCUGGUCUCUAGCCCUCUUUAUGGAGAGAUAGUGCACCCAGUACCUCCUUAAGACAAAUACUCCCCACCACCCAGCCUCUUGUCUGGCACCGGAGCAGAAUUGUCAGGGAGUGUGAGUAAGCAGCCGGCAAGAACCCUCACUGUCUGGAGGCAUAUCCACACCUGAAAUCUCUUAUCAGAGAACAUUGAGGUUUACUGCAACUGAAGGGCCUUGUGCUGGUAUCAGAGUGCUGCCUUUCUAACAUAAUCACUUCUCUCUUGUACCUUCUAGAUGUCUAAGUAGGAAGAUCUUCAUAAAUAUUUCGCACACCAUGUUAGAACCUUUAAAUCUGUUUGAACUGGAUUCUUGUUAGGAAGAAAUUCAUUUCUAAUUUAAUUUUAAUUUUUUUGGCAUGUUUACUCCAUCAAACAAUUAUCCUGCCUAACAAAUUAUGUAAAAAAAAAAAGUUAAAAAUAAGGGAGUCACAUGACCUUUGAAGUUAGAAAAUAAAUCAGAGAAGAAUAAAAAGGGGAAUGAAUUGUUCUAAGUAUAUCAGAAAGGCUUUAUGUGUUCAGAAACUCAUUUACUUUUCUCCAAAUCAAUAUGCAGUGCUCAGCACAGAGAACUAUCAGAGAACUAUUGAAUAUAAAGCACAGAAGAUAACAGCAGUGAUUACAACAUGCAAUUGUGCAGCUGUGAUAUCAUCCCCUCCCGCUCCACUGGGUCCUCCCCAUCAGAUUGGUUGCUAUGUUAAUAUUUUAGGCUUAAAGGACCAGAAUUAAUUCAUUCAGUCUUAUCUCUGAUGCGUUGGUUUUCUGUCAAAAAUUCCUGACAGAAUUAACAGUCAAAAUGAAGCAGGAUAAUUGGAGACGGAGCCAUGCAGCCGAUCAUGCCAUCCUUGGAAUUAUUGGGCACACCAUCAUCUCUUGCUUGGAUUCAGGAUCUUGGCAUUGCAUUCUUACAGAAAAGCCUCUUUGCAGUCAACAUCCACAGAAAAGAAAUAGAAGCAAUUGAUCUGCAAGGACCUGCCUUUGAAAUAUUGACACAUUGAGGAGCCAUAUUGGAUUGUGAAAGGAACUCAGUUGACCUGGCCUAUUGCAGAUUUAUUCUGAGAAUUUCAAUUCAGUCUUUGCUGCUGUUUGGAAAUCUUUCAUGAAUCUUUUAAUAACUUCCUUACAUACAUCUUGUUCCAUUAAAGCCCCAAAUUUGGCUUUGUCAGCUCUCUUUCUUCAUAAUCUUUAGGAUUUGUUCAUGUGUGGAUGUGAUGGAACUGAAGUCGCUAGGUUCAUGCUACCUGGAACAUGAGACUGACAAAUAGAGGAGCACUGAGUCAAAUGAAUCUCGGAGAAAUGGAGCUGGAAGAAAACUGGAGUAAGCCUGUCCCUGAAAGGGCACUACAUUUGGAUAUCCAGCAGUGGGACUCAAUAUUUUUUCUUGUUGUUUAAUCUCAUUUCUGUUACUUGCAGCCAAAGGCUCUUAAUGAGAAAAUGGCUCUACCUAGUUUUCUGAAAUUGCCUCAGUCUCUCCACUCUUCCCUAUUACAAAGGUCAUCUCUUUAAUUCACAUCCAAUAACUGAUAGUCUCUUGACUAAUCUACAUCCUCUCAUUCUCUCCUAAUUCACCUUUCAUACUGUUGCCAGGUGACUUUUCCUAAAAGACAACUUUCAUGAUGUCACUCUACUUCAUAAAUUCUUAUAAUGGUUUCUUUUUGCUUUUAGUCCAAACUCCUCAGGUUCGUUUUCAAGGCUUUUCAUAAUUGAAUUUCUUUUAUAUACCUAAGAUGAUUUCUCUGUGUUCCCAAAUGUACAAUUGACAGUCCUUCCUCCUGAUGUUCUCUCCAGUAGGAAAUGUUUGCUCUAUGUAAAUUCAGUAUAGCUUUUAGUCUCUAUUCAAGUUCUACCUUCUUCAUAAACUUCUCCUGAAUAGAAUCAGCCUAUAACCAUUUAAACUGUCUUUAUUAGGUGCACACUAUGUGCCAGGUACUCAACAAGGCAGUGGAACUAUGAAGACAGAUAAUCACAGUCCCUCUUGCCUCUGGGAGCAGGCAGUUGAAUGCAAUGCUUUUUAAAGUUUUAAGUAACGUGGUCAUGCAAAAUCUUAUAGAUAUACAUUUGAAUGUACAGAGUUUAAUUACCAAGCUAGUGAGACUUAAUGUUUCAAUUAAUAAAAAGUUUGGAAUCAAGGUA